rnacentral:rRNA from 1 species
UUGGAGGGCAAGUCUGGUGCCAGCAGCCGCGGUAAUUCCAGCUCCAAUAGCGUAUAUUAAAGUUGUUGCAGUUAAAAAGCUCGUAGUUGAAUUUCGGGAUCAAUAUACCGGUCGUGCCUCAGGUAUGAACUGGUCUUAUUGGUUUCUCCCUUCUGACGAACCAUGAUGUCAUUAAUUUGAUGUCGUGGAGAAUCAGGACUGUUACUUUGAAAAAAUUAGAGUGUUUAAAGCAGGCUAACGCUUGAAUACAUUAGCAUGGAAUAAUGAAAUAGGACGUUCGAUCCUAUUUUGUUGGUUUCUAGGAUCGGCGUAAUGAUUAAUAGGGAUAGUUGGGGGCAUUAGUAUUCAAUUGUCAGAGGUGAAAUUCUUGGAUUUAUUGAAGACUAACUACUGCGAAAGCAUUUGCCAAGGAUGUUUUCAUUAAUCAAGAACGAAAGUUAGGGGAUCGAAGACGAUCAGAUACCGUCGUAGUCUUAACCAUAAACUAUGCCGACUAGGGAUCGGAUGAUGUUAAUUUUAUAAUGACUCAUUCGGCGCCUUACGGGAAACCAAAGUGUUUGGGUUC